GUGCCAGCGCCGCGGUAAUACGUAGGGGGCAAGCGUUGUCCGGAUUUACUGGGUGUAAAGGGCGCGCAGGCGGAAUGGAAAGUCAGUGGUGAAAUCCUACAGCUUAACUGUAGAACUGCCUUUGAUACUUUCAUUCUUGAGUUCGGGAGAGAGAGACGGAAUUCCAGGUGUAGUGGUGAAAUACGUAGAUAUCUGGAAGAACACCAGUUGCGAAGGCGGUCUCUUGGUCCGAUACUGACGCUGAGGCGCGAAAGCGUGGGGAGCAAACAGG
rnacentral:rRNA from 1 species